rnacentral:rRNA from 1 species
UACGAAGGGGGCUAGCGUUGCUCGGAAUGACUGGGCGUAAAGGGCGCGUAGGCGGUUCAUACAGUCAGAUGUGAAAUUCCUGGGCUCAACCUGGGGGCUGCAUUUGAUACGUGUGGACUAGAGUGGGGAGGAGGGUCGUGGAAUUCCCAGUGUAGAGGUGAAAUUCGUAGAUAUUGGGAAGAACACCGGUGGCGAAGGCGGCGACCUGGUCCUUGACUGACGCUGAGGCGCGAAAGCGUGGGGAGCAAACAGG